rnacentral:piRNA from 1 species
UUUAAAAAAAUUAACCGACAC